rnacentral:rRNA from 1 species
UGGGGAAUUUUGGACAAUGGGGGCAACCCUGAUCCAGCAAUGCCGCGUGUGUGAAGAAGGCCUUCGGGUUGUAAAGCACUUUUGUCCGGAAGGAAAACUUCUGCCCUAAUACGGCGGGAGGAUGACGGUACCGGAAGAAUAAGCACCGGCUAACUACGUGCCAGCAGCCGCGGUAAUACGUAGGGUGCAAGCGUUAAUCGGAAUUACUGGGCGUAAAGCGUGCGCAGGCGGUUCGCUAAGACAGAUGUGAAAUCCCCGGGCUUAACCUGGGAACUGCAUUUGUGACUGGCGGGCUAGAGUAUGGCAGAGGGGGGUAGAAUUCCACGUGUAGCAGUGAAAUGCGUAGAGAUGUGGAGGAAUACCGAUGGCGAAGGCAGCCCCCUGGGCCAAUACUGACGCUCAUGCACGAAAGCGUGGGGAGCAAACAGGAUUAGAUACCCUGGUAGUCCACGCCCUAAACGAUGUCAACUAGUUGUCGGGUCUUCAUUGACUUGGUAACGUAGCUAACGCGUGAAGUUGACCGCCUGGGGAGUACGGUCGCAAGAUUA